rnacentral:lncRNA from 1 species
GGCAUAAGAAAUCUCUAAAUGAAUUUGAGUUGAAAGGUCCUUUAAUAAUAAGUUUUCGUUUAGGUUCAAUCAAGGAUCAAACUUAAAUAAGUAUUUCUCUUAGAAUACUUAGGGUUACAUAACCCAUUACCUAUCAAAUUAAAGAUUUUUAAAUCUUCUUUUCAACGCCACCAACAUCUCAUAAAUUCGAGUCCUAAGUAAAAAGUUACGUAUGUUUUUCUAUGAACAGUCAGAACAG